rnacentral:sRNA from 1 species
GUUGAAACUGUAAAAAAUUAAA